CAAGUUAAAAAAGGGCGUAUGGGGAAUGCCUAGGCUCUCAGAGGCGAAGAAGGACGCGAUAAGCUGCGAAAAGCUGCGGGGAUCAGCACAUAUGAUAUGAUCCGCAGGUAUCCGAAUGGGGCAACCCGGCAUAUUGAAGAUAUGUCAUCUCGCAAGAGAAGCAAACCCGGAGAACUGAAACAUCUAAGUACCCGGAGGAGGAGAAAACAAAAGUGAUUCCGUAAGUAGUGGCGAGCGAACGCGGAUUAGUCCAAACCAAUAUUGUUUCGGCAAUAUUGGGGUUGUAGGACCACGACAUUUGGUGUGUUAUGAAUUAGAAUACGUUGGAAAGCGUAGCAGUAUAGGUGAUAGCCCUGUAUAAGUAAAGACCAUUACCGAUAGUGGUAUCCUGAGUAGCACGGGGCACGUGAAACCUUGUGUGAAUUUGGCGGGACCAUCCGUUAAGACUAAAUACUCCUGAGAGACCGAUAGUGAACCAGUACCGUGAGGGAAAGGUGAAAAGAACCCUGAACAAGGGAGUGAAAAAGAUCCUGAAACCAUACGCUUACAAGCGGUCGGAGCCCUUAGGGGUGACGGCGUGCCUUUUGCAUAAUGAGCCUACGAGUUACUUUUACCAGCAAGGUUAAGGUCUUAUGGACCGGAGCCGUAGCGAAAGCGAGUCUGAAUAGGGCGACCAUAGUUGGUAGUAGUAGACGCGAAACCGUGUGAUCUACCCAUGGGCAGGUUGAAGCUUUGUUAACCCAAAGUGGAGGACCGAACCCGUUGACGUUGAAAAGUCUUGGGAUGACCUGUGGGUAGGGGUGAAAGGCCAAUCAAACUCGGAAAUAGCUCGUACUCCCCGAAAUGCAUUUAGGUGCAGCGUGCAUAUAGUUUUAUAGAGGUAGAGCUACUGAUUGGAUGCGGGGGCUUCACCGCCUACCAAUUCCUGACAAACUCCGAAUGCUAUAAAAUGUUUAUGCGCAGUGAGGGCAUGGGUGCUAAGGUCCAUGUCCGAGAGGGAAAGAACCCAGAUCAUCAGCUAAGGUCCCAAAGUAUAUACUAAGUUGAAAAAACGAGGUCCAACUGCACAGACAGCCAGGAUGUUGGCUUGGAAGCAGCCAUUCAUUUAAAGAGUGCGUAACAGCUCACUGGUCGAGCGGUUGGGCAUGGAUAAUAAUCGGGCAUAAGUAUAUCACCGAAGCUAUGACUUCUAUUUAUAGAGGGGUAGGGGAGCAUUGUAGCGCCACAGAAGGUGUACUGUAAGGUAUGCUGGAGGUUCUACAAACGAAAAUGUAGGCAUAAGUAACGAUAAUGCGGGCGAGAAACCCGCACGCCGAAAGACCAAGGUUUCCCCAGCUAUGCUAAUCAGCUGGGGGUCAGUCAGGACCUAACGCGAACCCGAAGGGGGUAGUGGAUGGACAACAGGUUAAUAUUCCUGUACCUGCUCACAAUAAAAGUGACGGGGAUGUAGCAUUGGUGCGCACAGACGGAAUUGUGCGUUGAAGGGAGCGGUGACGCCCCGAUAGUACAC
rnacentral:rRNA from 1 species